UACAGAGGGUGCGAGCGUUGUUCGGAAUUAUUGGGCGUAAAGGGCGCGUAGGCGGCCAGUGCAAGUCAGUUGUGAAAUCUCCGAGCUUAACUCGGAAAGGUCAACUGAUACUGCUCGGCUAGAGUGCGGAAGGGGCAACUGGAAUUCUUGGUGUAGCGGUGAAAUGCGUAGAUAUCAAGAGGAACACCUGCGGCGAAGACGGGUUGCUGGGCCGACACUGACGCUGAGUGCGCGAAAGCCAGGGGAGCAAACGGG
rnacentral:rRNA from 1 species